GACGAACGCUGGCGGCGUGCCUAAUACAUGCAAGUAGAACGCUGAAGGAGGAGCUUGCUUCUCCGGAUGAGUUGCGAACGGGUGAGUAACGCGUAGGUAACCUGCCUGGUAGCGGGGGAUAACUAUUGGAAACGAUAGCUAAUACCGCAUAAGAGUAGAUGUUGCAUGACAUUUGCUUAAAAGGUGCAAUUGCAUCACUACCAGAUGGACCUGCGUUGUAUUAGCUAGUUGGUGAGGUAACGGCUCACCAAGGCGACGAUACAUAGCCGACCUGAGAGGGUGAUCGGCCACACUGGGACGGAGACACGGCCCAGACUCCUACGGGAGGCAGCAGUAGGGAAUCUUCGGCAAUGGACGGAAGUCUGACCGAGCAACGCCGCGUGAGUGAAGAAGGUUUUCGGAUCGUAAAGCUCGGUUGUAAGAGAAGAACGAGUGUGAGAGUGGAAAGUUCACACUGUGACGGUAACUUACCAGAAAGGGACGGCUAACUACGUG
rnacentral:rRNA from 1 species